GGCAUGAAUUGCAGCAGUGAGUGAAUGGCAGCUCUGUGAUUUGAAGGAGAGGACAGGGAAGAGAAGGAUCCUGGAUUCCUGAAAGGACUCUGACCUAUGACCAAAGAAUGCUCAGGAGAUCGGAAGCCUAUGAAACUAGGAGAAAUAGGGUUAAGCUCUGCUGAUUGGAGAGUUUCCAGAUACUCUAGAGAGAAAGAGAGAGGUGCUGAUAUUAACUCCAGAAUGGACUUGUCAUCAAUACGUGGCUAAAGUGCAUUCCACCAGCAUCUCAAAGACUCAGAGCCAGUCUCACUCCAGGACUCGGCAACGCAGGCUUAUUAAUGACACUUCUGAGGAAAGUGAUGUGCUUGACAUUUCCUGCACACCACAGGAGUCUUCAGUCACUUUGCAACUGAUUGUACAACAUUAAAGAUGUAUUGGAUUUUAUCACUUGAAGCAGCUUACAUUUCUUGACCUGCAAAGUAUAUAGCCAAAAAGCUCAAAUGUUGAUAUUGAAUCCUACGUCAGGGUAGCCUCAUAGGACUUUUCCAAAAGAAGAAUGAAGGACUUGGUGCAGCCCAUCUUGAAUAGCUAAAGGAUUUGGCAGCAAAAAAAAAAGUUUUUAUAAGUGAAAUAAACAAACAAUAAAAGAAAGAGAC